GAGAAAAAGCAAGCGGUAAACAUUACUUAAUACAUAGGUAAUUAAUAGAUAAGGUUAAUUUUGGUAAAUACAUCUAACGGCAUAUAAAAUAAAAUUAAUAAAAAUAAAAGUCAUAAAAACGUUAUAUAUUUAGGAUGGAAGGGAGUAUUUCUCAAUGGCAUCAUAUUGUAGAGGUGGGAAUAAUUUUUAAAUGUCAUUUAUCUAUCUAAUUUUCGAGACUUAAUUAAAAUGAGUUGGAAAUUAAUCUAGUCUUCGUUCUAGAUUUGAAUCGAGCUACAUUUGUGAGAUGUGUUUUUUAAAAAUAUGUAAAGUGUAGUUUAGAAUUGAAAAUAUGUGUGCUCA
rnacentral:lncRNA from 1 species